rnacentral:lncRNA from 1 species
AGCUGCUCCGCACAGCCCCGCCUGGCACGCAGCUCCAGCGGCUGGUCGGGUAGUAGUCGGUCCCGCCCACCCGGUGCGGUGGCCCCUGGGGUUUCAGUCCAAGGGGAGGGACCAGCGCUCCAAGAAGGUGAGGCUGCUGGGAUGGGUGACUCCGCCGUCACUGCAAACACGGGACGUCCCGUCUACUCCCUUACGCCUGCUUGGUCUGAGCCCGAGUCUACCUCUUCUCUAAGUCGCCAGCUCGGCACUUGUACCCGGGACCUGUGCUCCUCCCACGUGAGUCUGCACCAUGCGUAUUCCCUUCCUGGCAGGUGACCCACCUUAGGCGCUGGCGCUCCUUCCGCCCCCCGGGAAGCAGGAGGUGCCAUCCUCUCCAAUUCGCUCUGCAGCCGGACUGGGACCGGAGCGGCGGCCUGGGCCAGAAUCCGCGUGAGGAGCCGGCUUCAAAGAGCGCCCUGUCGCCAUUGAACACUCCUUUUCCUUUGGUUUAGCGUCGGAGAGCGGACGCCAAUUUGCCAGGAGAGCGCGGAAAAUUCAGCUUUUUUUUUUUUUUUUUUUUUUUUUUUUUUCCGCUAGUGCACUAGGAUUGCAAACGUCAGCUCUGAAAUAAAAAGCAGGAUAUUUCUGCCCCGCUCCUCUAUUCCGGAAGCUGGGAGGUUCUGUGGGAGAAAGGACCUGCACCCAAUAACUCAAUUUAAGAUUUAAGGUUUUGAGGGGCGUGGGGUUGGAAUCGCCUUGGAGAAACGGGUUUGCCUGCUUACCUGAGCCAAAGGAAGUUGCCCUCAAAGGCAGGUCAGCAAUCAUACCCCGCCAAAAGCAAAUGCACAUCAAAGUAACUUCCUUUAAAUGAGAUUACUGUAGUUUCCAUGUCUUCCACAUUAGUAAAUAAAUAUUUGGAAGACUUCGAAUUUGUGAUUUACGUUUAAAUAUAUUUCACCAACAUUGUUUAAUUAAAAAAAAAUCCCAUCUAAGAGAAGGUUCCUAUAGGAAAUUGGCCCUUUAACUCAUACACAGAUUACCCUCGGCACUUUCAGAAAACAACACAGUGACCAGUAUAUUCUGUCUUUUUGAUACAGCCAGAAGCACCCUGAAAGCUGAGACCUAACUGUGCUUUUGGAAAAUAAGCUUUUAGGAGUUGAAUGACCUUGUCUACUUCUUUUAGUCAGAAUAAUGUUGGCAUGUCUAUUUUAGGUUAAAAAAAAAUACAAAUUCUAAAAAGUGACUUUAAAGGCCCACUUUGAAAGCCUUAGCAUUUAAACUAACAUUAGAUUUAAAAGAAGGGCUUUUCUCCCCCAUUAUAGGAAGCUGUGUAAAAUCAUGUGUGAGGUUGUGAGGGUCAAAUGGAAGUCUAAGAUAAAGUUCUGCCAAUUACUGGUGUCUUUAAGCUUCCACCAGCAGCCAAGCACAGUGCAGAUCAUGAGUCCUUCAAAAUACGGGGUGGUUUUAAUGCUCUAAGUUGGUAUGAUUACUUUUUCUAAAGAGCUCAAAGUGCUUUGGUGCCAUAGUAUGAAUUUCAUUACCCAUUGUGAGACACAAAGGGGGUUAGCAAUGAUUCUGUUUGCACCCUGGAAGCCAAAGGCAGGUUACUCACCCACUUAGUUCCCUACCACAAGACCUUGAAAGAAACUGGAACCCCAGGUCUCCAGCCCAGAGAUUUUGUUGGAAGUUUCCAUUUGCAGGAAAUGACUGCAGGGCACAUGUGGGAAGUGACAGGAAUUUGAGGACUAACAUUUUAGUUUUCCUCAUUUCUUUUUAAAUCUGAGCAAUUGUUCAUUGAUCGAUAAUCUAUGUUCUUACAUUCAGAUAAAUAAAAACACCAACUGGCUAUUUUGUUCUUACUUAGUUUUAUGUGUAUGUCCAGGCAUUUGCCACUGCUCCUAAAUAGCUCUCCCUGAAGUCUUCUGGUCAUGAGUUAGGUUUCUUAUCCAGAAGCUCAUGUAGUGCCAGAGCUUAGCUCUCCUAUGACAACACAAUCACAUUAUUGAAACAUCUAUUUAGGGAUCUGUCUUCUCUAAUAGAUUAUAAACGCCUUGAGCUUGGGUAUCGUGAUUUAAUGAUGAAUCCUCCAUGGUAUCUGAAUCCCAGAAUCCUACAAUCCUGCAUGGUAUCUGAAACAUACUAUGCUCUUAAAAAAAAAAAAAAAAAACUUUGUAAAUGGAACUUCCCUCAAGGAGUCAGGGUUUAAGUCAAACAUGUUUCCCUUUCAAAGCCGUGGGCAUGAGAAUAGAGGCUGUUAGGAGACACAGUAGUAGUUGACUGCAAAAGUGUCUGUCAGUCAGUUGUGUGGCCCAAGACUCUUUUUAUCAGUUCCAACAACUGAAAAAUGAGAGGGUUUUAGUGGAAGAUCUCUGUACUGCUAAUAUUUUAAGAUCUCGAAGUCUUUAUUGAGCACCUAGUAUGUGUACAACACUAUGCCAGUUACUAAGAGAGAGAUGAAAAAAUAAGAUAUCUCCAUUGCCCUAAGAGAGCAUAAAAUCUUAUCUCAAGGAAAAACAAGGCAAACACUCCUAGCCUACCUUUACAGACACGCACAGACAUGAGUUAACACAGUUGUAAACUGUUCUAAAGAAGAUAAAGGCUCAAGGAGUGAAAAGGCAUGAAAUAGAAACAAAAGCAACUGACCUAUGAGUUUGGGCAAUAAUCAGUAAUAAUACCAGCUAAAGUGUAUCUAAGGCUUAUAGUGCCAGGUACUAUGCAAAAUGAAUCAUAGGAGCUGCACCUUUUGUUCAUUUUACAAAUGGGGAAACGGAGGUUUAGGAGAGUUUAGUGACUCGUUCAAGGUGACAUACUAAUAAGUGGUAGGGCUGAUAUUCAAAGAGUUCUCACCUGACUCCAAAGUGCAUCUUCUCAACCAAUAUUAGAGAUUAUUAGCCCAGACUUCCCUAUUUUAUAAUUGAGGGAUUUCAUUAGAGCACUAGAGGAGGAAGCUACCCUUCCAGUAAAAACUAGACUCCUAGUCUAGUGCUCUAUGUAAUUAAGUAAUAUGCUUAUGUUUGCUAUUUUUCUGGUUUUUCUCUUUCCCACAAAAUAUGUAAUAGGAGACGGGAGGUCAGGAAAAGGGGAGAGAGAGAAAAAGAGAGAAGUUGCUUCUUUUGAAGAUGUCCAGAAUCCACAGUAGUCUACCUGCUCAGACUCAAUGGGGUUUUAUUUGUAACCCCCAGUCUAGUGGGCAGCCCUGUAUAGCCUUUCUUCCCAUCAUGGCUGUUUGAAUCUUUCAGGUUAAUAGCAUGAAUAUUAAAGACUCCAGUGGGACUCUUUAUCCACAAAGGAAAUUGGGAUCAGGUUAAAAAUCCAAUUUUAAUAAACUUUCCAAGUCCUGAUUUAGAUGAGGUACUAAUGGCUCUUACUGCUGAAUCACCUUAAAAGUCAAAUGUAUUUUUAAAAGGGAAGCUUGUUGGGUAUUGUUUAAUUGUGCAUUGCACAUUCCUGUCUUAAUAGAAAAAGAUCAUCUGUAAAACUUAUGAGAGCAGAUAGGAAAUGCCACUAUCCACAGAGCCAGUUGGGUAGAGGGAAGGGCGUUGGGUUUGAAAGAUAAUUUUCACUCGUUUGACCAAAACAAAGAGAGCAUGAUUGCACUGUGUGAAAAUGAUAUCCUCGAAUAACUCCACUAAUUUGAUUGUGCUGAGGUCUAGAAUUGUUUCUAUUUCUUUUGAUUUGCUAAUUAGCUAGAGCAGUCCGCUAGUGAGAGGGGAAAUGAGGGUCACAGCCAUAAAACAUGGAGGAUUGUUGUUCCUUCCAACUCAGCUCACCCAUCUCAUGCCUCCCCAACCAUCCCGUCCCAACGCCCAAUUUUGUCUCUGUGUAUGUAACAACAAUCCAUCCAUCUAUGACAAAUUGAGUGAUUCUUUUCUGAAAACAGGAUUUUUAAGAUUAUCUACUUUAUGACACCAAAUUUGACACAUCUUGGCAUAUGUGGUUAUGAGGUCCAGUUAUGACUUUUAUGAUGUUUUCCUUUAUGAAUCCUGCUCCCUGCCUUGCCAAGUUAAAAUUAUAUCUUAUGAUUACAUUAGUAUAAAGGUGAGUAUAUUUUCUUCUUUAUUUAAAUAUCUUCUUUAAUCUAAAAGUUUAUCUUUUUCUGAUUUUUAGAAGAAAUUAAAUCAUUUUUGGGAAGCCCUCAAGGUACCAUAAGCUCUGGGCAGUGUGCCUAAGACUUCUAAUGGAGAAUUUAGCCCUGUGCAGAUGAUAUUGCAGAGGAGGAAUGCUUAGUUAAUUUAGGUAAAGUAUGCACAGUAAAUACAAUUUCAUAAAAAAGCUUAUAGUCUAUGGUGUUAUGUAAACAACUAUAGACAAAUAGAAUAUUGCUUUUAUUUGUUAUCCUGUGUUAAACUGUGGCCAAAAUUACACACAUCAGUGUUAGAAAAAUUGCAGUAUUGCAGGCUUGAAGUGGUCCCCUUGUUCAAAUUACUGGCCCCUGCUGAGUGCUGGAAUACCUUCAGGGCGAUGGAAAAUUGUGGCACUCUCUUUGAUUUUAGAUUUUGGGACCAAAGCUGGCUGAUCUUUUGAUGAGUCGGUCUUAAUGAUUUGCUCUUUUAGGCCUUAUUCAAGGAUACUGGGAACCUCACACUCUUCAGAAAAAAAAAAGUUUUCCUCCUGGCAGGCCUAUCAGUUCAGUUGAAUCAAUAUGUAUUAGGUACCUCCCAUAUAGCAGCCUGUGUGCUAGGUACAUGGGUAGAGAUUUAUUAAGAAGAAUGAAAUUCAAUCCCUUACUUAGGAGCUCACAGAUGUGCAUUAACAGAAAAAUUACAAUUCAAUCUAAUCAUUCUCAUGAGUCCCUAGUUCCAUUUGUAAUAGAAGGUCCAAGGAGCAUUUGAACUGUGACUCUCAGACCCUUACCUCUUACUCUGAACUCUCAACUUCAAUCAGCACAUGCUGUUUCUAGCAGCUCUCUUCUGUCUUGGAGUCCUCACUGAAGUCCUCUAGAGUAUGUCCCUAUUGUCCCUGAAAACUGAUGGUGCUGGCUUUUCCUUUCAAAGCCUUGUUUUAAUUCUAGAUUUAAAAUAGCACUAAUGCCACAAGAAGUCUCUUACACAAUGGUAGAGUUCUCUUUCCAUAGACUUUGGAACACUGUUCUUUUGGAAAUGUUUACAAUGACACUUAUAAGAACUGGCUAUAUAUAUAUUAAUCUGCUUUGUGGUGGAAAUAAAUAUUUUGUAGAAUGCUUUGAAGCUUAGGCAAUUAGUUCUUUUUAACAAAAAUUAAUUUAAUUUUCUUUUAAGUUCCAGGAUACCUGUGCAGGACAUGACAUGCAGGUUUGUCAUGUAGGUAAACAUGUGCCAUGGUGGUUUGCUGCACCUGUCGACCCAUCACCUAGGUAUUAAGCCCCACAUGCAUUAGCUAUUUUUCCUGAUGUUCUCCCUCCCUCCACCCCCUUGACAGGCCACAGUGUGUGUUGUUCCCCUCCCUGUGUCCAUGAGUUCUCAUUGUUCAGCUCCCACUUAUAAGUGAGAACAUGUGACGUUUGGCUUUCUGUUCCUGUGUUAGUCUGUGGAGGAUAUUGGCUUCCAGCUCCAACCAUGUCUCUGCAAAGGACAUGAUCUCAUUCCUUUUUAUGGCUGCAUAGUAUUCCAUGGUGUAUAUGUACCAGCAGUUAGUUCUUAAAUUAAAAAAAAAAGCUUUCAUAUUUAAUCAAGUUAGGUUAUUUCAAUAUAUGCACCAUAAUGAUUAUUGUAAAGUAAGUUCUGUAAACUAAGGAAAAAUAACUAUUUUGUGCAAUCUCAGAAAAAUCUACUAGAUGGUAUGGGAAACAAGAAAGAGAAAUGAAGAGGCAAAUAAAAACAUGGCAUUUAUUGAGUAGCUGUAUGCUGGGAGAUUUGAACAUUCUCCUUUCCUUUCCCCUAAUUUUACGUACAGAGAAGUAACUUCUUGAAGGUUGUAUGUUCCAGCUUGCAACUAGCCAUGUUGGAUUUAGAAACAGGUCAAAGUCAAGUUCCAUGCUUUCUUCCUGUCUCAUGAUAGCAUUCUCUCCCAUUCUCUACCUGCACAUAUAUAUUUCAUAAAACUAGAAAGAGGACUCCACUAUAUUUUACAUCAUUUCUUCAAAUGAAGAAGAGAUCUGAGUUCUUCAUACCUUCAACAUGUACUUACAUUCCAGGAAUUUAACUAUCCGUAAGGUAUUUAAAUCCUACAUUCAUGAUAUUGUUUUAAUUGCCCUGAGUCAACUAAUUGACAAAGGAAAAUGCUAUGCUUAAAAGCUCAGUUCUCAGUGUAAUUAUUUUUCUCUCCCCACAUAUAAUCAUCCUUUAAAUAUAAAAGCUAUUAUAGAGAUGCAGUUUCCAGCAAACUUUAUCUCACAUUGAGGCCCUUGACUUUAUGUGGUGUUUCAGAUCAGCUUUUUUGUCAAGGGUCACACAUUCAUUCCAGCAUCACUUAAUUCUUUAGCUGUUAGUCUCCAUCCAGCACUAGGGUAGACCCUGGAGAUGCAAAAGCAAGCUAGAGACAGUACCCUUAUUCUCAUGGAGCUAAACAUUAGAGAGGUAUUGGUGUAUUCUUCGGAGUAUAUAAUGCCCUUUCCAGCUAUGGACUCUGCCUUUCUUUAUGUAUUCACCUCUUCCUGGAAGCCACUUUGAGUUGGCAGAAACACUCUGCCUGCCUCAGGAGACAGAGGGAAUUAUUUGUUGAUAAAUUGGGGAAGAAUGGCUCUAAAUGCUUACAUCAGCUCUGUCCUUCCUCUUGGGAAUGAGAUGCAUGCAGGGAGCAUUUAGCCUGCAAGGCUUCUCUGCUGCUCUUCAGGGAUGCUUCCCUGUAGGAGAGAGAUCUACCUGGGUCUGGGGUGGCCUCUUCCUCCCUGGGUGAGUGUGCCUAGUUCUGGGGUUCAGCUAGUGGGUAUCUUGGCUCUGUCACAGUUAUACCCUCCAUCAUGGCCUCUAUUGGUAAUAAAGGAGAUACUUAGCUCUCAUCUGUCUUAGUCUUCGUUCCAUUAGCAGGGAAGAGGGGUGUCAUUCAUCGUGGCUGAUUUAAAGCUACAAAACUGAUGAGCUUUCUGUAUCCCUUUCUUUCUGGCUCCUAAUUCACUUAUCCUUUGCCCAUAAUUAGCACUCAUUAUGCACUGUCCUGUUCGUUAAUUGUUACCAUGGCUAUGGCUUUUUCUUGAUGUUUUUGUGAGUCUAUCGUGUUUAUAGCUUAUGUCUUUUAGGCCCUACUUAUAAGUAGAAAGAGAACAGGAAGUGAGCUCCCCCAAAAUAGACAUGCAGUCAAUAUCACAAACCCCAAGAGGGCAAGUUCUGGAACCAGCAGAUUCCAGCUCUGCAAUAUUAGCUCUAUAACUUCACCCACAUUACUUAACCUCAGUUUCUUCCUCUGGAAAAUGGGGAAAAUAAUGACACCCUUCUCAUAUUAUCACACAUGAAGUUCCUGACACAGAGUACACACUGAAUGCAUGUGUGCUGUUAUUACAAAAAGGAAUUAAAUCAGAUGGUUUUACCUUCCUUAGAAAGAAUUAAUACAGAAAAAAAAAAAGCUCCUCAACUCUCUUAAGUACUCUGAAUGAAUGACCUCUGUAUUGCAGACUCUUUAAAGCAGCAGUCUCCAAACUUUUUAGCACCAGAGACUGGUUUCGAGGAAGACAAUUUUUCCACAGACCCGGGUGGGGUGAAGGAUGGUUUUGGGAUGAUUCAAGCCCAUUACACUUACCAUUCUAUUCUCAUAAAAGAGCGCACAACCUUGCAUGCACGGUUCACAGUUGGGUUCUGGCUCCUGUGGGAAUCUAAUGCCGCCGCUGAUCUGACAGGAAGCUGAGCUCAGGCAGCCAGUGCUGGCUUGCCUUACCUCCUGCUGUUCUGCCCAGGUCCUGACAGGCCACAGAGCAGUACUGGUCCACAACCUGGGGGCUGGGGACACCUGCUUUAAGGGAACAGUUCUUGAGAACAAACAACAUCUGCUCCAGAGGUCAUUGAUGCUUGAAGAUCAUAGUGAAAGAAGAAUGUUCUCAAAGAACAAGAUUUUUGGGUCAGAUAUUGCUAUGUUUGAAUCUCUUUCCUUCAAAUCCACUUACACAUCCUCCCUGAACCUCAUUUUUUAAAUAAAAUAAUACAAUGAUAUUUACAUAUAAUAUAAUAUUUUGAGAUUUAGGUUAAAUGGUGCAGUUGAAAGUCACUAAUAGUAUAAGGCAUAUGGCAUAUUGUACAUCAAUCUAUUGUAUUUUAUAUCAAUAUAUGUUGUAUUCAAUAUUGUUCAUUAUUCAUUGUUCAUUAUUCAAUAUGUAUUCAUAUUGUACAUCAAUAUAUGUUGAAUAACUGAAUCCAGGGAAUAUUCCUUCUGCAACUGAUUUCAAAUAGUGCCAUUACCCAGAGCUGUGGAUGUUGCCUGAGUUGACUUGUACUUACCUGCAAAGCAAGUGACCUUGAACGGGCAGAGUAAGAGGAAGAGGCCCUCCAUGGAAAACUAAACAACUGGUCCAUUUUUGUUUGAAUAAUCAAGUCUGGGAGGUGUUCCUUGUGCAGAGCACAUUAUUUUCUUUCUAUAUUGGAUAGCUGUACCCCAUUCACAGGGGUGACAUGCCAUUCAUACUGCAGCAGUAGGAAAGUCCCCAUGGUUUCUCUUUCCUCAUUCACUUUUAUAUGUAUAUAUAUUUUUUAUUAUACUUUAAGUUCUAGGGUACAUGUGCACAAUGUUCAGGUUUGUUACAUAUGUAUACACGUGCCAUGUUGGUGUGCUGCACCCAUUAACUUGUCAUUUACCUUAGGUAUAUCUCCUAAUGCUAUCCCUCCCCACUCCCCCUACUCCACAACAGGCCCCAGUGUGUGAUGUUCCCCUUCCUGUGUCUAAGUGUUCUUAUUGUUCAAUUCCCAUCUGUGAGUGAGAACACAUCAUUCACUUUUGAUGUCGGUGGAAUAGUGGCCCCCACAAAGACGUACACAUCCGGAUCCCCAGAACCUAUGAAUAUGUUCCUUUACAUGGUUUUAUGGAUUGAUCUGUAUGCUGCUAAAAUUAAUAUGUUGAAGUUGUGGCCCACAAUACCACAAAAUGUGACUAAAUUUGGAGAUAGGUCUUUUCAGAGGUAAUCAAUUUAAGAUGAGUUUAUUAGGGUAGAUGCUAAUUUAAUGUAACUUUGUUCCCAUAAGAAGGAAAAAAUUGGACACGGAGAUAAGGACAGAGGAAAGAUGAUGUGAAGACAGGGGCAGAAGUCAGCCAUCUACAAGUCAAAGGGAGACAUGUGGAACAGAUUCACCCUCACAGCCCUCAGAUGGAAGCAACACCACUAACACUUUGCUCUUGGACUUCUAGCUUCCAGAACUGAGAGACAAUAUCUUUCUGUUGCUUAAGUCAUUCUGUCUGUGAUACUGUGUUUAUGGCAGCCCUGGCAAACUAAUACAGUCCCACAAAGAUUUGGUUGUUGCUUUGCAAGAGAAUGUAUAAUUCCUGGUUAUUUCUACAAAUAAGGGCAUUGACUUUAUAAAGCUACAAGUAUACCCCAGUAUUCUGUUUCUGGUUUUUGUUUACUUUCAUAUAUGCUAUCUUUUCAUUCCCAGGUGAAAUCAUAGUGCAUUUUAAAUGAUAUUUUAAAGAGCAAUUAUACUCGUCAUAUGUACUUCAAAUAAUACUGAUUCCUCAAUUGAAGUAAUGGUAACAUGAGUGUAUUAGUUAAUUUUUUCUGAAUAACUAGUUACCUCCAAAGUUCAUGCCUUCAAGCAACACAUAUUCAUUAUUUCACAGCUUCUUUGGGUCAGGAGUCUUGGCAUAGCUUAGCUGAGUCCUCUGGCUCCUGGCGUCCCAGGCUGUAAUCAAGGUGGUGGCCAGGACUGUAGUCAUGUCAGGGCUCGCCAGGGAAGGAUCUGCCUCCAAGCUAACCAGUGUGGCUUUUGGCAGAAUAUAUUUCUAUGCAGGUUGUUGGACUGAGUUUCUUGCUGGCUGUUCCAGAGGUUCCCUUAGCAUCUUGUCGUGUGGCCUCUUCAUAGGUCAAUUCAUAUUGGCUUCAUCAAAGUGAGCAGGUAAGAUAGCAAAAGAGAAUGCCCAAGAUAGAAGCCAUAGUCUUUUUGUAAUCUAAUCUUAGAAGUGACAGCCUGUUAUAUUUGCUAUAUUCUCUUUGUUAGAAACAAGUUUCUAGGGCUGGGCAUGGUGGCUCACAUCUGUAAUCCCAGCAUUUUGGGAGGCCGAGACAGGCAGAUCACCUGAGGUCAGGAGUUCGAGACCA